CCUGGUUGAUCCUGCCAGCAAUCAUAUGCUUGUCUCAAAGAUUAAGCCAUGCAUGUCUAAGUAUAAGUGAUUGUACUGCGAAACUGCGAAUGGCUCAUUAUAUCAGUUAUAAUCUACUUGAUUGAUUCUGUUACUUGGAUAACUGUAGGAAUUCUAGAGCUAAUACAUGCAAAAAGUCUGGAUCGGGGGCAACCUCGGGAAGGACGCGUUUACUAGUCGAGAAACCAGGAUAGGGCGUUAACCUUUGGGUAACUGAAGGGUUCUAUUGUAACAGAUGACUCACAGUAAGUCUCACGCGAAUCGAGGGCUUAGGCCUUUGAUGAUGCAAACGAGUUUCUGCCCUAUCAACUUUCAACCGUAGUGUAGGGGACUACGGUGGUUGUAACGGGUACGGGGAAUUAGGGUUCGAUUCCGGAGAGGCAGCCUGAGAAACGGCUACCACUUCCAAGGAAGGCAGCAGGCGCGUAAAUUAUCCAAUCCCAAUUCGGGGAGAUAGUGACAAGAAAUACUGAUGUAGGGCCUUUUGGGUUCUACUAUUGGAAUGAGUACAAUUUAAAACCAUUAGCGAGGAACAAUUGGAGGGCAAGUCUGGUGCCAGCAGCCGCGGUAAUUCCAGCUCCAAGAGUGUAUAUUAAAGUUGUUGCGGUUAAAAAGCUCGUAGUUGGACUUAAGGUGAGGGUGCGGAGUCCCUGGUGGCAUUGCUGCUGGGAUAAAGGCUUUGUUACUCUCUCCUAUUUCUAGGGACGCAAAACACUGGGGCAACUCAGUGGUCUCUCAGGAUUUACUUUGAAAAAAUUAGGGUGUUAAAAGCAGGCGAAUCGCCUUGAAUACAUAAGCAUGGGAUAAUGAAAGAUGACCUUUUGGUCUAUACUUUAUUGGUUUCUAAGGCCGAGGUAAUGAUUAACAGGGACAGUUGGGGUCGCUUGUAUUCAGUGGUCAGAGGUGAAAUUCUAGGACCCACUGAGGACAAACAAAUGCGAAGGCAUUCGACAAGGAUGUUUUCAUUAAUCAAGAACGAAAGUUGUGGGAUCGAAGAUGAUCAGAUACCGUCGUAGUCGCAACCGUAAACUAUGUUGACUUAGGAUUGGGGGAUGUUAAUAGAUGACUCUCCUAGCACUAUGUGCGAAAGCAUAAGUAUUCGAACUCCGGGGGGAGUAUGGUCGCAAGGCUGAAACUUAAAGGAAUUGACGGAAGGACACCACCAGGAGUGGAACCUGCGGCUUAAUUUGACCCAACACGGGGAAACUCACCCGGUCCGGACAUUACGAGGAUUGACAGAUUGAUAGCUCUUUCUUGAUUUGAUGGAAGCCGGUGCAUGGCCGUUUUUAGUUGGUGGAGUGAUUUGUCUGGUUAAGUCCGAUAACGAACGAGACCUCAAUCUGCUAAAUAGUACCGUUCACAGGGUGAUCUCUGGGUCC
rnacentral:rRNA from 1 species